rnacentral:rRNA from 1 species
GGUGAACGCUAGCUACAGGCUUAACACAUGCAAGUCGCGGGGCAGCAUGGGGGUUGCUUGCAAUCCCCGAUGGCGACCGGCGCACGGGUGAGUAACGCGUAUCCAACCUGCCCUUCACCACGGGAUAACCCGGCGAAAGUCGGACUAAUACCGUAUGUUGUCCAUUGACGGCAUCCGAUUUGGACGAAAGGUUUGGCGGUGAAGGAUGGGGAUGCGUCCGAUUAGCUGGACGGCGGGGUGACGGCCCACCGUGGCGACGAUCGGUAGGGGUUCUGAGAGGAAGGUCCCCCACACUGGAACUGAGACACGGUCCAGACUCCUACGGGAGGCAGCAGUGAGGAAUAUUGGUCAAUGGGCGUAAGCCUGAACCAGCCAAGUAGCGUGCAGGAUGACGGCCCUAUGGGUUGUAAACUGCUUUUAUGCGGGGAUAAAGUGGCCCACGUGUGGGUUUUUGCAGGUACCGCAUGAAUAAAGACCGGCUAAUUCCGUG